rnacentral:rRNA from 1 species
AUGCCCAUGGCGCGCGAGUCAUGGCUGGCCAAGGUCCGGUCGGCCAUCUCGUCGAAGCCGUCGUCUUCUGGAGCGCCGCCGGCGGGCGCCGGUGGCAAGAAGGGCAACGUCGGCAUCCUCGCCUUCGAGGUGGCCAGCCUGGUGUCCAGGCUGCUCCACGUGUGGCGCGCCGUCGGUGACGCGGCCGUGGCGCGGCUCCGGCACGAGGUCGUCCACCUCGACGGCGUCCGCAAGGUCGUCUCCGACGACGACGCCUUCCUCCUCGGCCUCGCGCGCGCCGAGCUCGUCGACGCGCUGCGGGGCGCGUCCGACGCCGUCGCCGCGCUGGCGGAGCGGUGCGCCGACCCCUGCUUGCGUGAGUUCAGGGACGCGCUGCUCGAGUUCGCCGACGCCGGCCGCGACCGGUACCGCUGGGCCGCGCCCACGUGGAAGGAAAUGGACGCGCGCGCGAGGAAGUUGGAGAAGCAGGUGGCCACCACCGCCGCGCUCCGCAGGGCCAUGGAGGAGCUGGCCGAGGCCGAGCACGGCCUCCGGAAGUUCCUGCGGGCCGACGCUGCUGCAAGCGGCGGAGGAGGGUGCCACCGGCGCAGCAUGUCGGCGAGCAAGAUCUCGGUGGCGUCGGAGCAGCAGCAGCUCAUCUUCUCCAAGAAGCAGGACGUGAAGAACCUCAAGCAGACGUCCCUGUGGGGGUGCACCUUCGACGCCGUCGUCUCGUCGCUGGCGCGCGCGGCCUUCACCAUCCUCGCGCGCAUCAAGCUCGUCUUCGGCGCCGGCGGCCAGGACCAGCGGCACGCGCCGCUCCACCGGAGCCUCACGCUCUCCUCGGCCGUCCACCCGUCGGCCGACGCGCAGUCCCCGCCGCCGCCGUCGCGCAAGUCCAUGUCGAUGGAGGCGGUGCCGUUCGACGUCGCCGUCCUCGUUGCCCAGAGCGCGAAGGGCAGCAGACGGCGCGGCUUCUUCGAGUACAGCACGGCGACGCUGGUGCCGCCGGCGGGGACGCUGGGCGCGGCGGCCCUGGCGCCGCGGUACGCCGGGCUGGUGAUCUCGAUCGAGCGGAUGGCGCGGUCGCCGCAGCGGAUGGUGGGGCCGGACGAGCGGGACGAGCUGUACGGCAUGCUGACGGCGAGCGUGCGCGCGCAGCUCCGGGCGCGGCUGCGCGGCGCGGUGGCCGAGGCGGACGCGGGGCUGGCCGGAGAGUGGCGCGCCGCGCUGGGCGGCAUCCUGGAGUGGCUGGCGCCCAUGGCGCACGCCACGGUGCGGUGGCAGGCGGAGCGCAGCUUCGAGCAGCGGAAGACGACGUCGACGUCCUCGACGACGGACAUAGCCCGGCUGCCCCCUCGCCACGGCGGCGGGAACACGUUCCUGCUGCAGACGCUGCAGUUCGCGGACCGGGACAAGGUGGAGGCGGCCGUGGCGGAGCUGCUCGUCGGACUGAACUACGUGUGGCGGUUCGAGAAGGAGAUGAGCUGCCGCGCGCUCUUCGCCGUGCACCGCGAGUUCGUGGAGCGCCCCAGCGACUUGGACGGUGGCGCCGACAGCUGCCGAGGAGGAGGAAGCCACCCCCACCACGCCGUCGACGGCGGCGGCAAUGGAACAGUAAGCUCGUGCGCCUAG